GCCCAGGGAAAGGUUCAGGACGAGUGUGGCGGCAACUGGUGUGUCAGUGGUGCAGUGAGCGGGCCGAGCCGAGAGGAAGCGAGAGCUCCCGAGUUUGCAAAGAGCUGCUUUGUGUUUGAACACCGUUAUGGCCACCCAGGUAAUGGGGCAGUCUUCUGGAGGAGGAGGUCUGUUCACCGGCAGUGGCACCAUGGGCAUGGCCUUGCCUAACGACAUGUAUGACUUGCCUGAUCUCACCAGAGCUGAACUGGCUGCGCCUCAGCUCAUCAUGUUGGCAAAUGUGGCCUUAACUGGGGAAGUAAACGGCGGCUGCUGUGAUUACCUGGUUGGCGAAGAAAGACAGAUGGCAGAAUUGAUGCCUGUUGGGGAUAACGACUUUUCAGAUAGUGAUGGAGAAGGACUUGAGGAGUCUCCUGGGGUAAAAGGCGAGCCCAGUGGGCUGGAAAACAUGGAACUGGAGAGGUUUGGAACUCAGUGUUGUGCAACCGCAGCCUGUGUUUGAGGUGUCAGCUGCCUCAGAACCGUACAGCUCAAAUAAAGAUCUUCCUCGGGAAACACCUGUAGCAGAGGACAAAUGCAAGAACUUGAAGACCAAGCCCUUUCGCUGUAAACCGUGCCAGUAUGAAGCAGAAUCUGAAGAACAGUUUGUGCAUCACAUCCGAGUUCAUAGUGCCAAGAAAUUUUUUGUGGAGGAAAGUGCAGAGAAGCAAGCCAAAGCCAGGGAAUGUGGCUCUUCCACUGGGGAAGAGGGAGAUUUCUCUAAGGGCCCCAUUCGCUGUGACAGCUGCGGCUACAAUACCAAUCGCUAUGAUCACUAUACUGCUCACCUGAAACACCACACCCGAGCCGGGGACAAUGAGCGAGUCUACAAGGGCAUCAUUUGCACGUACACCACAGUAAGCGAAUAUCACUGGAGGAAACACUUGAGAAACCAUUUUCCAAGGAAAGUAUACACAUGUGGAAAAUGCAACUAUUUUUCAGACAGAAAAAACAAUUAUGUUCAGCAUGUUCGAACUCAUACAGGAGAACGUCCGUAUAAAUGUGAGCUUUGUCCUUAUUCAAGUUCUCAGAAAACUCAUCUAACCAGACAUAUGCGUACUCAUUCAGGUGAGAAGCCAUUUAAGUGUGACCAGUGCAGUUAUGUGGCCUCUAAUCAACAUGAAGUAACCCGUCACACAAGACAGGUUCACAAUGGGCCUAAACCUCUUCACUGCCCACACUGUGACUACAAAACAGCAGAUAGAAGUAACUUCAAAAAACACGUGGAGCUACAUGUUAAUCCACGGCAGUUCAACUGCCCUGUAUGCGACCGCGCAGCUUCCAAGAAGUGUAAUCUGCAGUAUCAUUUCAAAUCUAAGCAUCCUACUUGUCCUAAUAAGACCAUGGAUGUCUCAAAAGUGAAGCUAAAGAAAACCAAAAAGCGAGAGGCUGACUUGCCUGAUAACAAAAUCACCAAUGAGAAAACAGAAACAGAGCAGACAAAAAUGAAGGGGGAUGUGACUGGGAAGAAAAACGAGAGGUCUGUAAAAGUGGAGAAAAAAGAUAAUGUUUCAAAAGAGAAAAAGCCUUGUAGUAAUGCCUCAAGCCAAGUGACUACCAGAACUCGCAAAUCGGCACUGGAAGCUGAAAAGAUGGAUGUGCACCCAGGAAAUAAUGAGAAAAAAGCUGUAAAAGCAAGAAAAGCAAAAGGAAGACAGAAGCUGAAGCCCGUUCCUUACAAGAACCUGUGAAUGAUGAGGAACCUGUGACAAAAAAGAAAAAGAAGGCAGAAAGCAAAUCCAGAAAUAGUCAGCAAGUGCCGAAGGGUGACAGCAAAGUACAAGAGAAUAAAAAGCAAAGUAGUUGCAUGAAAAACAGUGCAAAGAAGAAAACUCUGAGAAGUAAAUCAUGUAAAAAAAGCGGCAAGCCUGCUCAGAGGAGGCCCACUCAGAUAGAGCCUCCUCCUCCCAUGGAGUCUGCUGAGGGGGGCCCUGUUCAGACGGAGCCUCCUCCUGCUGCCCGCCCCCCACCUCCUCCUCCUCCCCUUGCCCCCGAGCAGCAUGCUGAGGUCGAGGUUGUUCAGACGGAGCGGCCGCCUCCUCCUCCCCCUCCCCCCCAUCUCCUCCUCCACCUCUUCCCCCCGGGGGGGGCAUGCUGAGGUCAAGGUUGUUCAGAAGGGGCCUGUUCAUGCGGAGCCUCCUCCUCCUGUGGAGCCAGAUAAUGGCAAGGAAAAGUCCAACAUGCAGAGUGAAAUGGUGCAGAAGGAGCAAGUCCUUAUUGAAGUUGGCUUAGUGCCUGUUAAAGACAGGCAGCUUCUAAAGGAAAGUGCCGGUGCACAGGAUCUCUUACCACCAUCACCACCUCUGCCAAAGGAAGACUUAAAAGAGGAAGAGUCAGAAGACCAAAAAUUAGUCCCUGCAGGCGAAGGACAUAAAGAAGCUCCUCUUCAAAGAGUGGAAGCAGAAGAAGCAGAUAAGAGUCUAGCUGGUCUUGCUGCUGUUACCAAGGCAUCUGCCAGUAUUUCAUCCUCUGAACAAAACUUGAAUAUGCCAGAGGGUGAAACUUCAGAUGGUAAACAUCAGGCUGACGCUAUGCUUUGUGAAAUGAAGAUGGACGCUGAUGAGAAGAAAACAGAGAAUCCCCCCGGCAGAGACUCGGCGGUUGAAGAACCAACUUCACCACCACUUCUUCCUCUACCGCUAGAAAAAUGUGAAGCAGUGUCCACAGCUACUGUGGCAUCACCUCCUGUCACCGUGACAGUAAAUGAGUCUCAGGAAAUGGAUGAAGACGAAGGCAUCCACAGUCAUGAUGGAAGUGACCUAAGUGACAACAUGUCAGAGGAUAGUGAUGACUCUGGAUUGAAUGGGGCUCGGCCAGUUCCACAAGAGACUAGUAGAAAAAAUGGAAAGGAAGCCUUGGCAGUCAAAGUGGCCGAGGGAGAUUUUGUUUGUAUCUUCUGUGAUCGUUCUUUUAGAAAGGAAGAAGAUUACAGCAAACACCUCAAUCGCCAUUUGGUUAAUGUACACUUUCUUGAAGAGGCAGCUCAAGGGCAGAAGUAAAUAAACUUUGGGCAAGGCUUCAGUUCUUAGUUUGUAAGGUCUGUGACAUUUUGUAUUCAUUUGUAGUAAUGGACAACCUUUUGUUUUUAAAAUUGCUUUAAUUAGUAUCCAAUCUUGAUUUUUAAGUGGCAUUCUUUUCCUUAGGAAUCCGUGUACCUAAUGAUGUACAAAUUUUAGCAAAUCCAAGGGAGUUAGUGUAAUAAACCAGCAGACAUCUAAAUCUAUUAGCUUUUGCUUUUAAUUGAACCCAGAAGGCCAAGGUGGUAUUAGAGCAUUCUAUCGAUUUGUUCAGCUAUAAUUUGUGAGUUUUUUCCUCAUGUCUAUCUUCCUGUUUCACGUUAGUUUAUUCUUAGUUCCUUGUUUAGCUCUGUAAAAAUUAGCAUACUUAAAUAGCAAAUUACUUGAAGAAUUUGCCUGCUUUAUGUAAAGUUAGCACUUUAAAAUUGUUUUAGAGAUGAGAAGAGACAUUUAAAUUGAAGAGAAAUUCUCCCAACAAUGGAUGUUAUAUCAGUCCAGGUAUUUACUUCCUGAGUUUUGAUCAGUAUAUGUGUUUUGUGUAUGUCAAUCGUCAUAAAAAGUGGUUUUGGUGGGGGUUUUUUUUCGGUGCUUUAAUGCCUUAAGAUGUUGCACAUUGUUGUUUUUAACCUAUGCAGUUAAAUUAUUUCUAGAAAUAGCUUUUGUGUUGUAACACUUUAUAUCUAUAUAUGCAUGUUUAUUUUGACCUCUUUGGAGGGAUGCUUAAGUCUUAUUUGCAAAAGAGCAGUUUUCUUUUCCCCUGCUGCAAUUGUCUUUUUUGCAGAAUAUUAGUCUGUUCAAAUUUGUGAGCAAAUGAAAGAUGCCGGUUCAGUCCAUUGAUUUUGAUUUUAACAUCUUAUAUCUAUGCCAGAAUCUGUAUUUCAUAUAAGUUAUUUAUUUUAAAUUGAUGUGGUGAAUCACAGCUCUCAGUUUGAACUUUACAAUAAAUAAACCACUAGGCUCCAAAAAAAAUAAAAAAUAAAAAUAAACUCAAAAUGGAUUAAAGGCCUAAAUGUAAGACCAGAUACCAUAACAC